rnacentral:tRNA from 1 species
GGCCGUGCUCGCCGAAACGGCCGGGUCGGGGCCUCGCGGGUCCCGGCCCGGCCGUUCCAUGCGGUGCCUGGCCG